UAAGAAAAUUUUAAAAAGAUUUUGUUAGAACAUUUUAAAUAUAUUCAUUUGUAUUUCAAAUAAAAAUAUAAAGAUAUUAAAAGAUAUAAUAAUGAACUUAUGUAAAAUAUAAUAUUUUUUAGGAAUAGUUCAAACAAAAAAAAUCACACAUGAAUGUUUUAAUAUAUUAAAUAUAUUAUAAGUGUAGUUCUCCCCGUUCUAACUAUAAUAAUCUCGUAAAUUAAAGUUCGUGUUAAACUAUUAUAUAACUCACGAGUAAAAAGAGAUAUUACAUAACUUCCAUCCACUAUAAGCUGGUCAACACUAGGGGCAGGUGGAUUUCUGGUGAAUAAGUUUAUUUAUAUAGAUAAGAGAAUAGUUUAUAUAUUUAAGUUGAAAAGGUUAAUAUGUCAAAGAAAAUAAUCAAUACAAUACUAAAAGUUGAAUAAGAGCUCCUCUCAUGCUGUCCACGUCCUCACUAAUAAUCAACCAAUCAGAAAAGUGUUUUUUGACACGUCAGUUUGGUUAAUGUCGAUAAUGAUAAAAGUGAGAUUUUUGUUUGGGUUUAAAUUAAUUUGCUAUAUUGGCCCAACUAUUAUCUCAUCUACCUUUAUCGGUGUCGUUUCCCCUUCUUCCAUUAAAUCUGCAUGACCAGACACUAAUUGCAGCCAUUAUUCUCUUCUUCAUAACAACAUAAAAACCUAACGAUUUCAUCUUCCACUUCUCCUCUUUCACCCAAUAUAAAUUGAUGUAGCGUUCAAGCUACCACCAGGAAUCUCCUACAUAAAACGAAAUUGAAUACCGCAUGGAACUCAGAAGAACAUAAUUACAUCGAACCUAUCUCUACUCCAUAGAGCUGAAACGUUUCACCUAAGGGAUCUCCUCUCAAAAUCAAAAACUCCAAGCCGAUUGUAACUGAUGCCAGUUUCAUGCCUCUUCUCUUGCCGAUUCCGCCGUCGCCUCCUCCUCCUCAGCUUUGGCCGCGACGUCAGAGAAAUGCGAGAGGUCGUCUGUCAUGUGUUGGAUCACUUGAGAGAGAGGAAGGUCCACAGACUACGACGAGAAGGUUGGAGACCGUUAAAUUUUUGCGCCUUUUAGGCAGGCUUACUCCUUCUGUUGGAUCCCCAGCUUACGACGACCUCGACUUUUUUUUAAUUCCACUGCGUUAGUUGAUGAUUAACCUAUUUAUAUUGUGUUGCAGAGAAUUUGAUGGUAACAGGAAUUUGUUGCACGAGAUCACUAGACUUUCACCUAAGGCGAAGACAAACUCUUCAUUAGUUCUCUGGGCAUAUUGCAUUACGAGAAACAACAAAAAGAAUCUAUGGCCUAAAUCACCAAGCAUCUCCUUCUGCUAUCUAUGGACCUAAUUAAUUUAGAAUUAUGCUGAUAAUUAGGAAGAAGUAUACUUGAUAGAGUAAUAUCAAUGUUCAAUAUUUUGUAUGUCUGUGUUUUGUCUAGGAUUAGUCUCUUCAAUUUGUUCAAAGUGCUUCUCUUCAGAUUGAUCAUAUAAUUUGGAAGCUUAAUUAAAUCUAUUAUAUUGGCUCCAUGUUUGAUUAUCUUUUCUCUAGGCACUUCUCUCCCAGGAUGUUCAGUCCAACAUUGCUCCAGCAAGUAGUGAACCUUACGGCAGAACAACAAUACGAGGUACUAAAGCUGCAACAAGCUCUCAAGCAAGACCCCAUGGUGCAGCCUUACAGCACUGGGGUUGUUGUCUUAUAUGCUAUGCCAUGAAAUGAAUCUCACCUGUCUUAAGAGCUGCGUUGCUUUUCCUAUAUUUUCUUCCUUCUCUGCGAUCUAAUUCUUGCUCGGUUUCCACCCUCUUCAAUCCAAGGGACAAGCAACUGGGUUGGACGGUUUCAUUUGACGGAAACUUGCAGCAAUGAACAUGGUUUCUCACACUCAAAUUACCAAAAGAAGAAGAAGAAGCUUCUCUCUCAAAUAUACACUGCAGGAAAGCAUUCUCUGAUGUUUUAAAGUGAUUUCAGUCUAAAGCUCUCUUUUUUUUUUAUAUUAUCAUCAAAUCUAAUAUGUCUGUUUCACUGCCACAGAGGACAGAAAUUGAUCGGGUCUCCUUUUGGAAAUCUGGAAUACAUGGAUGGGGCCUUCCUGCCAGCAGAAUUAUCUAUGAAUAUUCUUAAACACAGACUGGAAUAGGUGAGACGUACAAUUUGCAGACCUGAGAGGAAGGGAAAAAAAUGCUAUAUGACUGUUCAAGAUCAGUGAGAAAGUAGUCGUUGAUGCUACAAAUAAAGGGAAUAUAGCUCGGCUUAUCAACCAUUAGUAAGCAGUUCUAUGACAUGGUGUGAAGUUUCACAGUUAGGAGUGAUUGCGUUAAGACCCUUUUAGGAGAUUUUGUUACACUGCAAUAACUCAUUGAGACAAUUUUACUUCUACUCCCACUCUCUCACAAGGUAACACGCUCAGAAGGCAUCUUACUUUGUUCCAUGUAGUAUUUUUUUCAUUAGAAUAUAUGCUUGGUUUCAUCACUCCUCCUUUAAGUGUAAGAUGCAGCGGUUUGUGACGUGCAAUAAUGAUGGUAAACACACACAUGCGUUGUGUGUCGAAUAUUUAAUAAACUUUAGUGAGACUGGUUUUAUGUAAGCUGGAAUUGGUCAAAACCAGAUAAAAGCAAUAAAUAAACACAAGAAGUUAUCAGUUUCCAUGUGAAAAUCAGUACAAUAUAGAUUCAGAACAUUUGUACAGUGUGAUUGGUUAGAUAUCAGAGUAAAAAGGUAGAAAAUUUUGGUGAAAAUGAGAGGGAUGAAAAUAAAUAAAUUUUUUAAAAAGUUUAUUUCAUUAAAUUGGAGUUAAGAUAUACUCUAUUUAUUGUUUUCUCACUUUUUAUAAUAAACGAGUUAUAAUAAAAAAAAAUUUGAUUGGGUGAAAUUAGAGUAAAUAAGCUAAAAAUAAACUGUCACCUACUUUAAUUUACUCUAGCUGUAUCCCACAGUCGUACCCGUAAUCUAAUAUACUAAAUCUAUUUAUAACUGAUCACAUCAAAAAAUAAUUUGCUUAUAUUAUUAGCAUCGUAUUCCAAAAUCAAUACGUGAAAAUACAUAUAUAAUUACUGUUAUAUUGUUAGCUGAAUAAAACAUUACUGCAAACUAAAGUCAUUUAUAUAGUUUUUAAGGAACUAAAACAUCUGAAGCAUAUCUAUGUAAAAAAGUAGUUCUUUAAAUAUAAGAACCUGCACACAUGUUACCUGAUUAGAUUUCAACUGGUCUGAUCUCCAGAUUUAAAACGAAAGUGUAUCAAUCAAUCGUAUGACAAGGUGUGCAUAAGUAAAAUUGUACACAAAUUUGGUGUUAAAAAUUCAGGUUAUAAUUAAUGGGGGGGGGGGGGGGGGGGGGGGAUUUAUGUCUCUUCAAAUCAUUUCCAUGCAUUUUUUUUUCUUUCUGAAUGCAUUAUGAAUAAGAUGUAGCUAAUAAGUCAGCAAGAAAACCACUUCGUUAGUUUUGACAACUAAAUUUAUUACGAAGAUCCUAGAGCUCUACUAAGGAAUUAAAACCAACAAAAAAACUUUAAAAUCUACAAAAACAAAUUCCUGUAAACGGAAGCUUAAAGUUGGAUAUUAAGUCUCAGAAAAUAAUUUUACCUCCCAAAAGAAACAAUUAAAAAAGAAACAAAUAUACAAAAAACGAACGACGAGCACAUUGGUUAAUAAUUUAUGGGAAAAUUGCCAAAAGAGAAUAAAAAAACCAGGUUGUUGUCCCUUCGGUAUAAAACUAGUUUUGUCCAUUUUUUCUCCUUUUUACCCUUUGUAUUUCUGAAAACUAAUGAAAUAAAUAAUUUUGAGAAUCAAAAAAAUUAUUAAAAAUAUAAACAAUUAAUAAAACAUCCAUAUACACAAGCUGGUAAUUUUGUUUUGUUCAAAAACUUGGUAAAUAAGAUUUUUAAGAUACGUUCUACUAAAAGUAGAAUGCGUCUUCAACAUAAAAUAGUAUAGUAGAAAACAAUUUCUAAAAUAAACACGUUCAUCUACUUCUUUUAGAACGUCCAUUUUACUAUUUACUAAAUUUCUAAAAAAGAGGAAUGUGCAUUCUACUAAUCGUAAAGGUAUCCACUUUCCUUCCGAAUGCAUCUUCUACGUUUAUAAAGUAUUCUAAAUUUUAGGGAAUGUGUUUUCUACAAUGUACUCUUACGUCUACUCAAAGUAGAAAAUGUAUUCAAAAUUUUUAUCAUUCUUCUAAACUUUUAGAACUCGCCUUCUACGGAUAAGAAUACCUGAUUUUUUGCGAAAAUUAAUGAAAUUUCAGUUAAGGAAAUAUUAUAAAAAUCUCCUAAAAAUAUUCUAACUUCCUAAAACGUGUUAUGGUCGAUUUUACUUGAAAAAAUUAAAGAAAAAAUGAUUCUCCCUUCUCUUCUUCAUCAAUCUAUGGUUUUCCCAUAGUUUUUCUUUUGAUUCUUCUCACAAACUCUUGUUCUCUAUGAUGCAUAUCUAUACCGUUUUUUUUUUUUCGAUUGCCUUUCAAUUUUUUUUUCAUUUUUUCCAUUAACUUCUUUUUUAAAUUCAAAUUAACUUUUAAAUUGUGUUUAAUUAGAUUAAAUAUAGGGAUAGUUUUGGGAUUAUGAGAAAAAUUAUACUAUUGAGACAACUUCAUGUUGGUUUUACACCAAGGGGACAACAACCUUGUUUUUUUGUUCUCUUUUAGCAAUUUUCCCAUAAUUUAUUACCAUGGUUGCGAAACCCACAACCGUACGUCAUCCUAAAAUAAGUCAAAAACGAGAAAAAUAAUUUUAGAAGAUGUUGGAGUUUUCUCUACUACACCGUAAAUAUAUUUCUACUUCUAUUCAUGUUUAUCAAUGGAAAAUUUCUACUACCAAUAUUCCAUGAAUUCUACAUAUUUGAAAAUAUGGCAUAAAUCUAAAACGUUUUUAAAGUCCAUUUUUUACAAAGUUACGAAAUCUAUAUAAAGAGAGAACUUAUACAUCUUGCAAGCAUAAUUCUACCUCAUGCAUACGGUCUCAAGUCAAUAUUUUAUAAUUUAAUUUUGUUAUACUCUAAUUUAGAUUAUGAGGAGCUUUAAUUUUGAGUUUUUUUUCUACGAUGCAACUUUUAUUGUUUCCUUUUGCUAUCAUUAUAUAUUCAGAUUAUUUUAUUCGGUAACUUUAAAGUUUAGGAAGUGUUGGAAUUUAAACCAGUUUUUUUAUUUAGUUAAAAAAAUAACCAAAAAUUGUUUUUAGAAGAACGAGUAGAUAUAAAAAAGUAGAGACCAAUGAAAGAUAGGACGAAAUAGAAAUGCUUCAGUUUUUUUAAUAUAUAAUUAAGACAUCUAUUAGUAAGAGAUUAUAUAAGUUUUGUUAUGAAACGAAAAUAAAUACAAACUUAAUUUAUAUUUAGCUUUAUUUUCAAUGUUUAAAUAACUGCAUUAUAAUAUAUAUUAUUACAAUUUAGAUAUUCAUAUUUAAUAAUUUAGUCAAAUUACAUAAAUGUAAAAGUGUAGCUUUCAAUAAUUUAAAUAAAACUUUGCUUUUAAAAAAAAAUUAUAUAAGAGAGAAUUUUAAUU